AUCAAUUUAUUAUUGAAUGAGGAAAUGUUUCGGAACUUUCAACUGAUUUGCAUUCGUAAAUGUUAAAGGUUAUCAAUUCUUAAUAACCACUUAACAUACUUCAUAUUAUAAAUUGCAUAGUUUUGUGCAGUGUCUAUGAAGCAUUACGGUUAUCCACAAUGAUAUGGUUGAUUUUAUUGGUGACUAUUCUCAUCUUAUUUUAUAUCUACACCUUCAGAUCCUUCAAAUACUGGGAAACUAGAAAUGUCUAUUAUGAAAAACCUGUUCCUAUUUUUGGAAAUUUCUAUGAUGUGGCAAUUCGUAAGAGGCAUAUGGGUGACGUAUUGAAAGAAAUACAUUUGAAGUUGGAUGACAAUGUACCAUACUUCGGUGUUUACAUCUUUCAUGCUCCAAAUCUUGUGGUUAGAACGAAGGAGAUGAUCAAAGAAGUCCUCAUCAAAAACUUCACCUCAUUUCCUAAUAGAAUGGACUACACAAAUGAAGUUGUGGAUCCACUGUCCUCCUAUGAUCUCUUCUCGAUGAAAGAAGACCUAUGGAAAUUCACUAGAACGAAGCUAAGUCCAGCAUUCUCUUCUGGCAAAAUUAAAAUGAUGGGCCCAUUGAUGAAAGAAGUGACUGACCAGUUGGAAAAUCUGCUAGAAUCUUCAAACGGACAAGAAGUUGAUGUACGUGAUCUAGCGAAGAGAUAUCUUGUGGACAUCAUUUCAACUUGUGCCUUUGGCAUUAAUGCUGAAAGUCUAAAAGAUCAAAAUUCACAAAUCAAGGUUAUGGCGAAUCAAAUGUUGGAUCAAAGAGGAUUCGUUAGAAGUUUCGCUGUGUUCGCUUGGUUCUUCUGUCCAUUGCUCGUUGAUAUCUUCAGACUACCGUUUGUUGAGAAAGAAUCCUCAGAUUUUUUGGUAGACGUAUUCUUGUCGUCUUACAAGGAAAGAAAGAAGUUGAAUAUAAAAAGAAACGACUUCAUCGAUCUGUUGCACGAGGUGAUUGGUAAAAAAGACCAAAAUGAUCUAAUAGUUUUCGAUGAGAUCAAAAUGUCUGCACAAGCAAUGGCUUUCUUCAAUGCAGGUACCGAUACUACAUCAAUUCUUCUUACGUUAUGUCUAUACGAAAUGGCUAUGAAUUUACAUAUACAAGAAAAACUCAGAAAUGAAAUAAGAGACUCUAUUGAUCCGACUGGGUCCAUAUCAUAUGAAACUUUACUGUCAAUGGAGUACUUAGAUUUGGUGACCAAAGAAACCCUUCGCAAAUAUCCUUUCCUUCAACUUCUCCAGAGGUACUGUGUGAAAGACCAUACCUUCGAAACUGGAUUGACUAUCAAGAAAGGACAGAGAGUUUUAAUUCCAACACUUGCUCUUCAUCAUGACCCUAAAUAUUAUCCCAAUCCUGAAGAAUUCAAUCCGGAAAGAAUUAGAGGAGACAGAAUCAAAGAUUUGCAAUAUGUUUUCCUUCCAUUUGGAGAAGGGCCAAGGAAAUGUAUAGGUGAAAAAUUCGGUCUUAUAUCAUUCAAAUUAGGAUUAUCAAUGAUUUUGAAGAACUUCGAAGUACUUCCUGGACCUCAAACAGAAAUUCCUUUAAAAUUCGAGAAGGCUGCAUUUUUCACUACCCCAGAGAGCGCUGAGAUCAUGCUUACCAUCAGAAGAGUUGAUUGAGUUACCAGUUGCUAAUAAUUUGCACUUUUCUUCAAAAAAAUUAGCAAUGAUAACCAACAUACGAUCGCAGGUCACAAGGAUCUUCACAAUGACAGCUGCCUCACUAUAUUAAUAUAAAAACUACAAUUUUGAAAUUUUCCUCAGGGCCGUUGCUAGGAGGUAGGUAGAAUAGGUAGAGCCCAGAAACAUAGGACGCCAAAAUUCAGGAGCGGAAUUUCAAACUUGACCAACAAGAACACAUGUAUAGAAAUUCCAAGAACCUAAUGAGAAUAUAAUUCAGUCAGAAACAACAGGAGAGUUCACUUGGAUCUCUGCCUAGGGCUACAGUUUGGCUAGCGACGGCUCUGAUUGGUUAUUAAACAUCGCAAAACCUACACAAAAUAAUUUUGUGAUUUUCAACUUCAUAUCACAGGCUCAGCUUAAAUCAUGAAUUCCUGAACGUUAUGAAUAAAAUUAGCUGAAAAAACAUGAAUCAAUAUCAAAUGGAAAAUCAUCCUACACAAUGGAUGCAUUUUGGAAAAGCCAUUUUGAAUGGUGUGUCUUUGGAUGUACCUAAUAUUUGUGAUAUACUCAAGUGUCGACUUGUAGAUCCAUAUUUUGUCAGAUUUUAAACAUAUUUUACUUUGUGACCUCCUUUUUACGCCCCUUAUUGAAGGGUUCGAAUUAGGCACAUCUGUAUUUUUCUGUGAAUAAAGAUCAUUCAUUCAAAAA